rnacentral:lncRNA from 1 species
UUCCUCGUGUUUCCUGAUCCUGCCUUGGGUCUGUAGUCAUACUUCUGGAAAUUCCUUUUGGGUCCAAGACGAGGAGGUUCCUCUAAGAUCUCAUGGCCCUGCUUCCUCCCAGUCCCCUCACAGGGCAUUUUCUUCCCACAGGUGGAAAAGGAGGGAGCUACUCUCAGGCUGCGUGUAAGUGAUGGGGGUGGGAGUGUGGAGGAGCUCACCCACCCCAUAAUUCCUCCUGUCCCACGUCUCCUGCGGGCUCUGACCAGGUCCUGUUUUUGUUCUACUCCAGGCAGCGACAGUGCCCAGGGCUCUGAUGUGUCUCUCACAGCUUGAAAAGCCUGAGACAGCUGUCUUGUGAGGGACUGAGAUGCAGGAUUUCUUCACGCCUCCCCUUUGUGACUUCAAGAGCCUCUGGCAUCUCUUUCUGCAAAGGCACCUGAAUGUGUCUGCGUCCCUGUUAGCAUAAUGUGAGGAGGUGGAGAGACAGCCCACCCUUGUGUCCACUGUGACCCCUGUUCCCAUGCUGACCUGUGUUUCCUCCCCAGUCAUCUUUCUUGUUCCAGAGAGGUGGGGCUGGAUGUCUCCAUCUCUGUCUCAACUUUACGUGCACUGAGCUGCAACUUCUUACUUCCCUACUGAAAAUAAGAAUCUGAAUAUAAAUUUGUUUUCUCAAAUAUUUGCUAUGAGAGGUUGAUGGAUUAAUUAAAUAAGUCAAUUCCUGGAAUUUGAGAGAGCAAAUAAAGACCUGAGAACCUUCCAGAA